AGAGUUUGAUCCUGGCUCAGGACGAACGCUGGCGGCGUGCUUAACACAUGCAAGUCGAACGAGGUUCAAUCAAUCGCAAGAACGAGGAAGACCUAGUGGCGAACGGGUGCGUAACACGUGAGGAACCUAUCCCAGUCUCUGGAAUAACAAGUGGAAACACUUGCUAAUACCGGAUGUCGUUGGAACACCGCAUGGUGAAUCAACGAAAGAUUUAUCGGUCUGGGAGGGCCUCGCGGCCUAUCAGCUAGUUGGUGAGGUAACGGCUCACCAAGGCGUCGACGGGUAGCUGGUCUGAGAGGAUGAUCAGCCACACUGGGACUGAGACACGGCCCAGACUCCUACGGGAGGCAGCAGUGGGGAAUCUUGCACAAUGGGCGAAAGCCUGAUGCAGCAACGCCGCGUGCGGGAAGAAGGCCUUAGGGUUGUAAACCGCUUUCAGCAGGGAAGAAAAUGACGGUACCUGUAGAAGAAGGUGCCGGCCAACUACGUGCCAGCAGCCGCGGUG
rnacentral:rRNA from 1 species